UAGGAGAUUCUGUAAAGCUCAGGAGGGAUAGCGCCAUGACUAUGUCAUAUGGGAUUCAUUCACAUAUUUGAUAUAUCAUAUCAAUCUAGUCAAUUGCGCUAUCCAUCCUGAGCUUUAUUGCAUCUUCUU